rnacentral:rRNA from 1 species
GACGAACGCUGGCGGCGUGCUUAACACAUGCAAGUCGAACGGAAAGGCCCUGCUUUUGUGGGGUGCUCGAGUGGCGAACGGGUGAGUAACACGUGAGUAACCUGCCCUUGACUUUGGGAUAACUUCAGGAAACUGGGGCUAAUACCGGAUAGGAGCUCCUGCUGCAUGGUGGGGGUUGGAAAGUCUCGGCGGUUGGGGAUGGACUCGCGGGUUAUGAGCUUGUUGGUGGGGGAGUGGCUUACCAAGGCUGUGACGGGUAGCCGGCCUGGGAGGGUGGACGGCCACAUUGGGACUGAGAGACGGACCAGACUCCUACGGGGGGCAGCAGUGGGGAAUAUUGCACAAUGGGCGGGAGCCUGAUGCAGCAGCGCCGCGUGCGGGAUGACGGCCUUCGGGUUGUAAACCGCUUUCGCCUGUGACGAAGCGGGAGUGACGGUAAUGGGUAAAGAAGCACCGGCUAACUACGUG